rnacentral:rRNA from 1 species
CCUACGGGAGGCAGCAGUGAGGAAUCUUCGUCAAUGGGCGCAAGCCUGAACGAGCAACGCCGCGUGUGGGAAGACGGCCUUCGGGUUGUAAACCACUUUUCUCUGGAACGAGAAUGGACGGUACCAGAGGAAGAAGUCUCGGCUAACUACGUGCCAGCAGCCGCGGUAAUACGUAGGAGACGAGCGUUGUCCGGAGUUACUGGGCGUAAAGGGUGCGCAGGCGGUCCGUUUUGUGGGUGGUGAAAUCUCCUGGCUCAACUGGGAGGGGGCCAACCAAACGGGCGGACUUGAGGCGUGGAGAGGGACGUGGAAUUCCGGGUGGAGCGGUGAAAUGCGUAGAGAUCCGGAGGAACACCGACGGCGAAGGCAGCGUCCUGGCCACGACCUGACGCUCAGGCACGAAAGCUGGGGGAGCAAACAGGAUUAGAUACCCUGGUAGUCCCAGCUGUAAACGAUGUCCACCAGGUGCUGGAGGUAUCGACCCCUUCGGUGCCGAAGCUAACGUGAUGAGUGGACCGCCUGGGGAGUACGGCCGCAAGGUUAAAACUCAAAGGAAUUGACGG